AGUGAACGCUGGCGGUAGGCCUAACACAUGCAAGUCGAACGGCAGCACAGUAAGAGCUUGCUCUUACGGGUGGCGAGUGGCGGACGGGUGAGGAAUACAUCGGAAUCUACUUUUUCGUGGGGGAUAACGUAGGGAAACUUACGCUAAUACCGCAUACGACCUACGGGUGAAAGCAGGGGAUCUUCGGACCUUGCGCGAUUGAAUGAGCCGAUGUCGGAUUAGCUAGUUGGCGGGGUAAAGGCCCACCAAGGCGACGAUCCGUAGCUGGUCUGAGAGGAUGAUCAGCCACACUGGAACUGAGACACGGUCCAGACUCCUACGGGUGGCAGCAGGGGGGAAUAUUGGACAAUGGGCGCAAGCCUGAUCCAGCCAUACCGCGUGGGUGAAGAAGGCCUUCGGGUUGUAAAGCCCUUUUGUUGGGAAAGAAAAGCAGCAGGUUAAUACCCCGCUGUUCUGACGGUACCCAAAGAAUAAGCACCGGCUAACUUCGU
rnacentral:rRNA from 1 species